rnacentral:rRNA from 1 species
AUGAACGCUGGCGGCGUGCCUAAUACCUGCCAGUCGAGCGAACAGACGAGGAGCUUGCUCCUCUGACGUUAGCGGCGGACGGGUGAGUAACACGUGGAUAACCUACCUAUAAGACUGGGAUAACUUCGGGAAACCGGAGCUAAUCCCGGAUAAUAUAUUGAACCGCAUGGUUCAAUAGUGAAAGACGGUUUUGCUGUCACUUAUAGAUGGAUCCGCGCCGCAUUAGCUAGUUGGUAAGGUAACGGCUUACCAAGGCAACGAUGCGUAGCCGACCUGAGAGGGUGAUCGGCCACACUGGAACUGAGACACGGUCCAGACUCCUACGGGAGGCAGCAGUAGGGAAUCUUCCGCAAUGGGCGAAAGCCUGACGGAGCAACGCCGCGUGAGUGAUGAAGGUCUUCGGAUCGUAAAACUCUGUUAUUAGGGAAGAACAAAUGUGUAAGUAACUAUGCACGUCUUGACGGUACCUAAUCAGAAAGCCACGGCUAACUACGUG